rnacentral:rRNA from 1 species
UCCGCANGUGAAGAAGGCCUUCGGGUUGUAAAGCUCUUUCAGACGGAAAGAAAUCUCCUGGGCUAAUACCCCGGGAGGAUGACGGUACCGUAAGAAGAAGCACUCGGCUAACUACGUGCCAGCAGCCGCGGUAAUACGUAGGGUGCGAGCGUUAAUCGGAAUUACUGGGCGUAAAGAGUGCGCAGGCGGUGAUGUAAGACAGAUGUGAAAUCCCGAGGGCUCAACCUGGGAACUGCGUUUGUGACUGCAUCACUCGAGUACGGCAGAGGUAGGUGGAAUUCGGGCGUGUAGCAGUGAAAUGCGUAGAGAUGCGGAGGAACACCGAUGGCGAAGGCAGCCUCCUGGGCCAGUACUGACGCUCAUGCACGAAAGCGUGGGGAGUANACAGGAUUAGAUACCCUGGUAGUCCACGCCCUAAACGAUGUCAACUAGUUGUUCGGUGACGAGACUCAUUGAGUAACGCAGCUAACGGUGAAGUUGACCGCCUGGGGAGUAUGGUCGCAAGGUUAAAACUCAAAGGAAUUGACGGGGAAUCGCACAAGCGGUGGAUGAUGUGGAUUAAUUCGAUGCAACGCGAAAAACCUUACCUACCCUUGACAUGCGAGGAACUUGCCAGAGAUGGCUUUGGUGCUCGAAAGAGACCUGGACACAGUGUGCUGCAUGGGUGUCGUCAGCUCGUGUCGUGAG